ensembl:lncRNA
UUUAUAACGAAAGCAGGGUAUUUAAUAAACUAUUGACAUGAAAAUAUUUAUUUGCAGAUGUCGAAGGUAAAGCAACUUGCUUAAUAUGUUAAGCUAACGUCACAGUUUUUAAAGACUACAAUUUGCAGAGGCACUUCCAGAGCAAGCAUGCAGGGAAAUACAAAAACUGACACCCGAUGCUACAAUUCAACAAGUCCAAGCGCAGAUGCAGCCUGCCUGAUGAACAUCUUGCAGCAGUAACGCACACUGCUUCCACAGAACCGCACACUGCUUCCACAGAACCGCACACUGCUUCCACAGAACCGCACACUGCUUCCACAGAAAUGACUCCUGACUUCACCUUACUUGUCAACGCCCAUACGAGGCUCUCCUGUUCAUAUUGAGUUUCUGGAGAAAUCACUGUCAUGAGUUACAUUGAACCUUUGCAACAUAGCAGACACUUAAAUCCAGACCAAUAAAGGCCUAUUGAAAAGCAAGUAAGCUGUCACGAGUUGCGUAGUGGUGGAGAGGAAAGGAACCAGGCGCAGGCAGAGCGGCCAUCGAUGGAACAGGCCGGGGAGGCAGAGCGGCCAUCGAUGGAACAGGCCGGGGAGGCAGAGCGGCCAUCGAUGGAACAGGCCGGGGAGGCAGAGCGGCCAUGACUGGAGAGGGCGCCGCUGAGGCCUGGGCCAGAGAGGGCGCCACGGGCUCGGGCCAGUCCCAAAGUUCGUACUCCAGCUCCGAAUCGUCCGACGAGAGGGAAGCCGAUCCCCAGUCCCCCUUACAGGUGUACUCCCCUCUCGUCGAACAAAUCGGAGGGGAGUAGCCGGAAUAAGCACAAAGACGCCAAGCUUCCUCCCACGGCCACAGGUAGUUGUCCCUGUGGCCAUGGCGGGAUGUUGUGUCUUGCCUGCGGGUUCCUUUUUGGUCUGUCAUUCUGUCACGAGUUGCGUAGUGGUGGAGAGGAAAGGAACCAGGCGCAGGCAGAGUGGCAGUCGAUGUCGUAUUUAAAUAUAAAUGAACACCGAGCACUGAAACACUGAACGAAACCAAAAGUAUAAACCAAAACGGACCACUCACCACGUACAGAAACCAAUGUAGACAUGCAAUAAUGACAGACAGGUGAGGGGAGCAGAGGAGAAACAUUUAAACACAUACUAAUGACUUGAUUGGGACCUGGAGUCCGGGGCGAGAUCAUGUACAAACAGGAAACCGAGAAGAGCGGGAGAUGACGUAGCUAUCCGUCACAUAAGCAAUGAAAACUUGCCUAAUUUUGACAGAGGCCUACCCACAGUCUCCAAAAUAUGAACAUGUACCUACACACAACAGCAUUGACUGAAAAUGACAUAUGUAUGGUGAGUCCAUCAGGGUUGUUGAUAUAGACUCCAGAAUAUGGAUGCCUCGCUAAUGAAACGGUGCACUACAAACAAUACUUAACGUUUCAGUUUGUUUUCAGUUGUUGGUGACCGAGUUCAUUCCAAAUUCCAAGACUAUCACAGCCCUAGUUGCUAUAAUACCCUUUUCAUUUACACAGGCACCUGUGUCUCAAGAAUGUUUGCGGUGGCUAAUAAUCUUCCUUGACCGAGUGGAAGCAAACGACUUCCUGUCAGUGUCAGUACACCCAUAAUUUCCCUCCGGUUCCCUUAUCUGGUUCUGCUUGCCAGCACUUGAUAAGAAGACUUCCCAUAUGAAUUCAAAAACAGACAUCAUUGGCGAGAUAUGAGAGAGACCCAGUGGAUCCCCAAGGGCUGCCAAAGGGCUUCCUAUUGAGAUGUCACUUUCACCUCAAUGGGGGGAAGGAAUGCAGGGUGGGAAGGCUGGUAAUCUCCUUUUUAUCUCCUGUUCGAGACUUGGGCCAGUAAGGUCAGCACCCACCUCCUGCCCUGGGACAGAGAAAACAACACAUUCCCCAAAGUUACCUCGCAAUGGAGGGGUCGCAGUUAACCAUAGCAACACCAGAGAGGUUAUCACAAGCCACUAUUGUUAGGGUCAGUGAGGGUCAAACAUUGUUCUUAUAAAAAAACGUUUAUAAACAUGUUUAUGAAAAUGCAGGCCACCUCACUUCCAGUUUUUAACAAAAAAUGUAAUGUGCUUUCACACAUUCUCCAUUAUUGAAAAAUGUCCCCUUCAAUGUUUCAGUCGUGAAAGUGCAUUAUAUUAUCUCUUAAUAUUAUACAGAUACUUGAUAGUAGUUUACUUAACUCAAGGUUUAUUCCUAAGAGAACCAUGCAAUGAUUGGUCAUUCGACUCCCAAUCCAAGUCCUCGAUAAUACCUCUGUAACACAUCUCUAAGGUUGUGGCUGAUUUGGUCUAUUAGAACUUUCUUGUGAUAAGGCCACCUGCACUUUGACUCCUGCCCCUCCCCUGACAGAAUAUAAUUUGGUACUGGCUAUCCUGGAACAUGACAGGUUUCUUAUGGAAGCAGUCAGCACAAACAGUUUCUAUUGUAGCACAAGGGAGGUAUUGUAGAUUAUUACAAAUGAAUCAAGCACAAUACAAUUACGAAUAUCCUCCAACCACAGAAAUGAACCCACAAAGCAAAAAUGGCAUGGGAAAUUAUGUCAGUGUACAAAUUGAGGGAAUUGACUGCCCAAAACACAAUUAGCACUCCGUUGUUAACACAGAGGUCAUUAAGUCUUUGUUCUCUAAGACUCAAAUGACAUGUUCUCAUGUUGUCCCUAAAAAUAAGACAAACUGGGAUUCCAAUUUCAAGUUUACAGCCAUCAGUGACAAAAAGGUAAAUAUUAAUAAAUAGUAUUAGCAAGUAAAUGACAAAAAGCAUACAGAUUUAUUUUAUUUGUAUCGUAGGAGUAACCAAAACCCCAAUCAUUGCAUGUAGGCAACCAUAAGAAAUGUAAUUCAGGUCUCAAAUCUUAAAUAAGGCAUUUCAGUCAAUCAAAUUUUAUUGCUUUUCAAAAAGAGUUCACACAGUUAGAUAUUUCAUUCACACUUAUCCCCAGUCUCAGAUAUGAGAAUCUUAUGUUAAGCAAGCAAUACAGACCAAAUGUCUUUGUUUUGUUUCUGUUUCAAUGUUAUAUAGAAUGGGUGUUAAUCAGACAUGGUCUAGAGCCUGCUUGUUCUGUUCUAGUUCUUAAAUCUACUGUGAAAAUGUAUGUAUGUUUUCUAGGUAUGAUUCUCCUGAAAAAUAAAUGUUCUAGUGAAUGGCACAACUGUUCUUUUUGAAAAAAUAUCAUGUGGGAAUAGUGAUGGUAGCCAAAAUAUACUCACUUAAAGGGUCCAGAGAAGUGGAUUGACAGUAUAGGGGCAUACCGUGAACUGCAAAUGUUUUUGGGCAGUGACAUUUUUCUUCUUUUGUCAAUGUAUUCAUUCACUUUGAAGUUAAAAUGAUACAAUGAUUAUGGUGUUAAAAGUACAGACUGUCAGCUUUAAUUUGAGGUUACUGUAUCCAUAUUAGAUUAAACAUUUGUUCACAGUCCCGCCAUUUAAGGGUACCAAAAGUAUUUUGCACAAUAAUACAUAGGAUACUUUGAGUCAUCUGUAUAUACUACCAAAGUUACAAUAUUUGGGAAAAAUUUCAAGAAAAUGUGUAUACUGUUGUCAUUUGACUGGGAAAGUAUAAUUUUGUAAAACAAAGAAAUAAAUUGGUCGGG